rnacentral:RNase_P_RNA from 1 species
AGAUGAUCGCGGGGGCAUGGACCGAAAGGUCGCUUCUGAGGAAAGUCCGAGCUCCAUAGGGCAAGGUGCUGGGUAACGCCCAGUGGGGGAAACCCUAAGGAAAGUGCAACAGAGAUAUACCGCCUAGCAGAUGCCAGUUAUCAGAGGCCAGAGGUCAGAACUGGUAGGUUCUAAUUCCGGCUUCCGGCUUCUGAUAACUGGCGUCUGAGUAGGUAAGGGUGGAAAGGCGAGGUAAGAGCUCACCGGCAGUCAGGUGACUGGCUGGCCAUGUAAACCCCACCUGGAGCAAGACUGAAUAGGGGAACUAUGAACGGCCCGUUUUUGUU